rnacentral:rRNA from 1 species
AUUGAACGCUGGCGGCAUGCUUUACACAUGCAAGUCGGACGAGUGGCGAACGGGUGAGUAACGCAUCGGAACGUACCGAGUAAUGGGGGAUAACUGUCCGAAAGGACAGCUAAUACCGCAUAUUAUUCGAGAGGCCGAUGUCGGAGUAGCUGGUUGGUGGGGUAAAGGCCCACCAAGGCGACGAUCAGUAGCGGGUCUGAGAGGAUGAUCCGCCAGACUGGGACGGAGGAACGGCUCAGACUCCUACGGGAGGCAGCAGUGGGGAAGUUUGGCCAAUUGGCGCAAGCCUGAUCCAGCCAUGCCGCGUGUCUGAAGAAGGCCUUCGGGUUGGAAAGCUCUGUUAAUCGGGACGCGUUACCGGAAUAGAAAGCCACGGCUAACUACGUGCCAGCAGCCGCGGUAAUAC